AACUGCGCCCGGAGAAGUCCCGACAAUCUGCCGACGGACGCGGGUUCGAUUCCCGCCAUCUCCA
rnacentral:tRNA from 1 species